rnacentral:pre_miRNA from 1 species
AUGUUGGUUUAAGCGUGUCCCAUGAAGUAUUUGGGAUAUUCUUAAACUAAAA